ACACGGGCGUAGAUAUUUGUCAAGAAAUUUGUUUUGGCUUCUAUUUGAGACGUGUGAAUUUUCAGAAUUGGUAAUAGCCUUCUUCUUCUUCUCACCCACCAACCACACUCACCCAGGGUUUUGGAUGACACUGAUCCGAA
ensembl:ncRNA F45B8.21 ncRNA